GGCCCACCAAGGCGACGAUCAGUAGGGGUUCUGAGAGGAAGGUCCCCCACAUUGGAACUGAGACACGGUCCAAACUCCUACGGGAGGCAGCAGUGAGGAAUAUUGGUCAAUGGACGAGAGUCUGAACCAGCCAAGUAGCGUGCAGGAUGACGGCCCUAUGGGUUGUAAACUGCUUUUAUAAGGGAAUAAGGUGAGUCUCGUGAGGCUUUUUGCAUGUACCUUAUGAAUAAGGACCGGCUAAUUCCGUGCCAGCAGCCGCGGUAAUACGGAAGGUCCGGGCGUUAUCCGGAUUUAUUGGGUUUAAAGGGAGCGUAGGCCGGAGAUUAAGCGUGUUGUGAAAUGUAGACGCUCAACGUCUGCACUGCAGCGCGAACUGGUUUCCUUGAGUACGCACAAAGUGGGCGGAAUUCGUGGUGUAGCGGUGAAAUGCUUAGAUAUCACGAAGAACUCCGAUUGCGAAGGCAGCUCACUGGAGCGCAACUGACGCUGAAGCUCGAAAGUGCGGGUAUCGAACAGGAUUAGAUACCCUGGUAGUCCGCACGGUAA
rnacentral:rRNA from 1 species